GAUGAACGCUAGCGGCAGGCUUAACACAUGCAAGUCGAGGGGCAGCAUAAAUAGUAGCAAUACUAUUGGUGGCGACCGGCGGACGGGUGCGUAACGCGUAUACAACCUUCCCUAAACAGGGGGAUAAUCUGGAGAAAUUCGGUCUAAUACCCCAUAACAUCAGAGCAGGCAUCUGUUUUGGUUAAAAUUUCCGGAGGUUGAGGAUGGGUAUGCGUAGCAUUAGCUAGUUGGUGAGGUAACGGCUCACCAAGGCGACGAUGCUUAGGGGGACUGAGAGGUUAACCCCCCACACUGGUACUGAGACACGGACCAGACUCCUACGGGAGGCAGCGGUGAGGAAUAUUGGUCAAUGGGCGGAAGCCUGAACCAGCCAUGCCGCGUGCAGGAUGACGGCUCUAUGAGUUGUAAACUGCUUUUGUACGAGGGUAAAGUGGGCUACGUGUAGCCUUUUGAAAGUAUCGUACGAAUAAGGAUCGGCUAACUCCGUGCCAGCCGCCGCGGUAA
rnacentral:rRNA from 1 species